GGACCUGACUGCUAUCGGAUUGAUACUAAGCCAUGCGAGUCAUUGUAGCAAUACAAGGCAGACGGCUCAGUAACGCGUAGUCAACCUAACCUAUGGACGGGAAUAACCUCGGGAAACUGAGAAUAAUGCCCGAUAGAACACUAUACCUGGAAUGGUUUGUGUUCCAAAUGAUUUAUCGCCGUAGGAUGGGACUGCGGCCUAUCAGUUUGUUGGUGAGGUAAUGGCCCACCAAGACUAUUACAGGUACGGGCUCUGAGAGGAGUAGCCCGGAGAUGGGUACUGAGACACGGACCCAGGCCCUAUGGGGCGCAGCAGGCGAGAAAACUUUGCAAUGUGCGAAAGCACGACAAGGUUAAUCCGAGUGGUUUUUGCUAAAGGAACCUUUUGUCGGUCCUAGAAACACCGAUGAAUAAGGGGUGGGCAAGUUCUGGUGU
rnacentral:rRNA from 1 species